rnacentral:rRNA from 1 species
AGACAGCAGCCGCCGCGGUAAUACGUAGGGUGCAAGCGUUAAUCGGAAUUACUGGGCGUAAAGCGUGCGCAGGCGGUUAUAUAAGACAGAUGUGAAAUCCCCGGGCUCAACCUGGGAACUGCAUUUGUGACUGUAUAGCUAGAGUACGGCAGAGGGGGAUGGAAUUCCGCGUGUAGCAGUGAAAUGCGUAGAUAUGCGGAGGAACACCGAUGGCGAAGGCAAUCCCCUGGGCCUGUACUGACGCUCAUGCACGAAAGCGUGGGGAGCAAACAGGAUUAGAUACCCCGGUAGUCCCUGUCUCUUAUAC